ensembl:lncRNA
CGCAGUGCCCCAUAGCGCCCCACGGCAACGCCAGCGCCAGCCGGAGCUGCUCGGUGGGAGCACGGCUGCCGGCUCUGUGUCCCCGCGUCCCCUUCCUCAUCUAACCGGCCCUUGGCACGGCAGCACUGCGAAGCCCUCCCCUCUGCGGUGCUGCUUCCCCUCACCCCACACUGCCUCGGCUCCACCUUCCCUGCGGGGUGUUGGUCGUGGUCAUGGUUAUGGUUAUGACCAGGAUGGCAGUGAUGACGAUAAUGGGGACGGUGGUGAUGAUGGUGAUGAUUCUGUAGUGAUAAUGAUGGUGACGAUGGUGAUGGCGGUCGUGGUGAUGGUGAUGACGACGACGGUGGUGAUGAUUCUGUAGUGAUAAUGGUGGUAUUAAUGAUGAUGGCAUUGAUUAUAAUGAUGGUGACAGUGGUGGUGAUGAAGGUGAUGAUUCUAUAGUGAUGAUAAUGGUGGUGAUGAUGACGAUGAUGAUUCUAUAGUGACAAUGAUAACGAUGGUGACGAUGAUAUGGUGAUGACAAUGAUGAUGAUAAUGAUGGAGGCAAUUAUGAUGAUGGUGGUGGUGAUUCUAUAGUGCCAAUAAUGGUGACAGUGAUGGUGGCGAUGAUUCUGUAGUGACAACGAUAGUGAUGGUGACAAUGAUGGUGAUAAUGAUAAUGGUGGUGGUGAUGCUAUAGGGACAAUGAAGAUGACAGUGAUGAUGAUGAUGAUUAUGGUGAUAAUGAUGGUGAUGAUGAUUCUAUAGUGACAAUGGUGAUAGUUAUGAUGGUGAUGGUGACAGUGAUGGUGACAAUGAUGUGGUGAUGUGGUGAUGAUGACAAUGAUUCUUUAGGAACAAUGAUGGUGAUGGUGGUGAUGAUGAUAAUGAUGAUGGUGAUGAUUCUACAGUGGCAGUGAUGGUGAUGGUGAUGAUGACAACAAUGAUGGUGAUGAUGAUGGCGAUGUUGAUUCUAUAGUGACAAUGAUGAUGGUGAUGUUGGUGAUGACGAUGGUAAUGGUUGUAUAGUGACAGUGGUGAUGGUUAUGAUGGUGAUGAUGAUAAUGAUGACAUUGAUGGUGGUGAUGGUGAUGAUUCUACAAUAGCAGUGAUGGUGAUGAUGACGAUGGUGAUUCUGUAGUGAAAAUGAUGGUGGUGAUGGUGAUGACGAUGAUUCUAUAGUGACAGUGAUGAUGAUAAUGACGGUGAUGAUGAUUCUAUAGUGACAACGGUGAUGAUGGUGAUGGUGACAAUGACAGAACGUUGUCUCACCGCAUGAAGCUCACAUCGCCUACCUCCAGCACCGGCAAGAUGCUUAC